rnacentral:rRNA from 1 species
GAUGAACGCUGGCGGCGUGCCUAAUACAUGCAAGUCGAGCGAACGGACGAGAAGCUUGCUUUUCUGAUGUUAGCGGCGGACGGGUGAGUAACACGUGGAUAACCUACCUAUAAGACUGGGAUAACUUCGGGAAACCGGAGCUAAUACCGGAUAAUAUUUUGAACCGCAUGGUUCAAAAGUGAAAGACGGUCUUGCUGUCACUUAUAGAUGGAUCCGCGCUGCAUUAGCUAGUUGGUAAGGUAACGGCUUACCAAGGCAACGAUGCAUAGCCGACCUGAGAGGGUGAUAGGCCACACUGGAAGUGAGACACGGUCCAGACGCCUACGGGAGGCAGCAGUAGGGAAUCUUCCGCAAUGGGCGAAAGCCUGACGGAGCAACGCCGCGUGAGUGAAGAAGGUCUUCGGAUCGUAAAACUCUGUUAUUAGGGAAGAACAUAUGUGUAAGUAACUGUGCACAUCUUGACGGUACCUAAUCAGAAAGCCACGGCUAACUACGUG